rnacentral:ncRNA from 1 species
CAUGGUCCUGACCUUACUAUCAGCUCUUACCCAACUUACACAUGCAAGUCUCCGCAGCCCCGUGAGUAUGCCCUUAAUCCCCCACCCGGGGACGAGGAGCGGGCAUCAGGCACAAAUUUUUAGCCCAAGACGCCUGGCCAAGCCACACCCCCAAGGGAAUUCAGCAGUGAUAAACAUUAAGCCAUAAGUGAAAACUUGACUCAGUCAGGGUUAAGAGGGCCGGUAAAACUCGUGCCAGCCACCGCGGUUAAACGAGAGGCCCUAGUUGAUAUUACUACGGCGUAAAGGGUGGUUAAGGAAAGCAUUAUAAUAAAGCCGAAUGGCCCCUUGGCCGUCAUACGCUUCUGGGUGCCCGAAGCCCAACCACACGAAAGUAGCUUUAACAAAGCCCACCUGACCCCACGAAAGCUGAGAAACAAACUGGGAUUAGAUACCCCACUAUGCUCAGCCAUAAACCUAGACAUCCACCUACAAUUAGACGUCCGCCCGGGUACUACGAGCAUUAGCUUGAAACCCAAAGGACCUGACGGUGCCUUAGACCCCCCUAGAGGAGCCUGUUCUAGAACCGAUAACCCCCGUUAAACCUCACCACUUCUAGCCACCCCAGCCUAUAUACCGCCGUCGUCAGCUUACCCUGUGAAGGCAAUAAAAGUAAGCAAAAUGGGCACAACCCAGAACGUCAGGUCGAGGUGUAGCGUACGAAGCGGAAAGAAAUGGGCUACAUUUUCUAUAAUAGAACACUACGGACAUGCAACAUGAAAUAGUGCUUGAAGGAGGAUUUAGUAGUAAAAAGGAAACAGAGUGUCCUUUUGAACCCGGCUCUGAGGCGCGUACACACCGCCCGUCACUCUCCCCUGUCAAAACGCAAAAAAUAUAUUUAAUACCAAAGCACUGUCAAGGGGAGGCAAGUCGUAACAUGGUAAGUGUACCGGAAGGUGCACUUGGAUAAAACUCAGGGCGUGGCUGAGUUAGCCAAGCAUCUCACUUACACCGAGAAGACAUCCAUGCAAAUUGGAUCACCCUGAGCCAAAUAGCUAGCUUAACUACUUAUAUAACCCAACAAUAUACAUAACAAAACAUGACCUAAUAAUAAAAACUAAACCAUUUUUUUACCUGAGUAUGGGAGACAGAAAAGGUUCAACCUAAAGCAAUAGAAAAAGUACCGCAAGGGAAAGCUGAAAGAGAAAUGAAACAACCCAUAUAAGCACU